CAGCCUCCAUUCGACAGAACCCUGAUGGCAGAGCGAAGCAGGAACGAAACUCGUGAGGGUGAGGGUAAGUUCAGCUGUGCAAGAUGCUAUCAAGUCACAUAACCCACGAUUAGCUUGAACCUUUAUGUUAACAGCAUCACUAACGCAAGUCUAGCUCCAACGUUUGAAUAUAAUGCUCAGCCGGUGUUGAAGAAGUGCUUGUGAUGCACAGCUAUGAUACCACCUUUGAAAACUAAUCCUGAUCCUGUAUCGUAGAGGUGACAGUUUUCAGCCGAUGCCAUUUCUGGUACAGCUGGUAACGUUGCCCUGAAUGUGUAUGUCAUCUUUUGCGUGGUGCAGUGCAUCGUCAUGAUAAUCACAGGUGCGGUGUACUUCGACAACUGCCCAGGCAACAUCAUCCUAAACAUCUAUCUGAUCGUGCACGGUGUCCUCCUCCUCAGCAUCCCAGUCCUGCUGUGGAGUGUGUUCCGAUGUGGCUGUAAGAUGAAGAAAGUAAACUACUACACUGCGUGUGUCACAGCAGGAAUUGUGUGCACUGGCUGGUUAAUCGCAGGAAGUAGUUUUCUCGCCGUUGCCGAAUGCAAGUCAUCCACCGUAUACAGGAUCUCCCUCGGGUUCAAUGUUGUAACAUGGUUGUUUUAUGGAAUCUGCAUUCCUAUUUUAUGUUGGGUUCGUUAUUGCACAGGGAGGGAGUGAGUUAAAAGAUAAACCCCCUUCAGGAUAUAGCCACGAAAUAUCUUAGCUGCUAAUUUAUUCUACCGAUUAUAAAAUAUCAUUUAUCUAUUCACAAAACAUAUUUUUCAAUCAACUGUAUUUCUUUUUAAAAACUCAAUGAUUAAAUGAUAAUUCACUUUACUAAAAGGAUCCUUCACAGUUUUGACACUGAAAUUCUCAUCCCUUGUAUGAACAAAAUCAAUACAGUCAAACAGAACAUGCUUGACCGUGAUUCUUUCAUCACAAGGGAUAGAAAACGGAUGAUCCUCACCUUUUAAUAACUAUUCAUGUGUAUGGCCUAUCCGACAUCGUCGCAUGAUGACCUGCUCAAAUCUGGACUGACCACCCAAGUAGUUGUAACCGAUAGUUUCUUAAAUUUGAUGCAAUUUAUUUAUGCCUAUUUGGGUGUCCCACUUCCUGUGAUGUAAGUUGUGAUGUUAGCUUUGUAAUCAGAGUGUAGAAUAAGAAGUGGUGUCACAGAUUUGCUGAGUGCUGCCUUAGCAGUAAAGUUGGCCUUUGUAUUACCAGAAAUGCCAUCGUGCCUGGGUAACCAACAGAGUAGGGGUGAAACGGUAUACCACGGUAUUAGUUGAACGCUGUAGUUUGUCUUCGGUAAGGUAUACCGUAUUGCAAUCGGAAAAAAUGUUUGUUCGCUUUACCUACCGUCAUUUUAUUGCUCAUUUUAAACCUUUACUAAAAUGUCUAGAAAUCGAAUCAGUUGGUCAAAAUGUAUGCAUUUCUUUGCUUGACAGCCGCUAUUAUCCUUGAAGUAAGUUCGAGAUCGCCUUAUGUCGUCUACUUACAAAGUCAGCAAGACAGCAACUGCAGAUACCAAAUCACUAGAUGAUUUCUUUUUCUUUUUCAGUUAUUUCAAAUCAGACGAACUGCGAAACAGCGUAAUAACUUAUUGCAGUCAACUUUAUCAUAAAUACACGCCAUCAGCUGAGUACUUACGAUGUUUGCUGUGAUGCAAUACACCGUGUUAUAGCGUGGGUAAACACUGCCAUCCGAAAACGUAUGAUGUUAGAAAACACAUUAUAAAAGAUCUUCCUCGAUUUCAUUUUAUUUGAUUAAAUUUAAUGCCAUUUUCAUUGUUAAAACUGUUUACAGUAACGUGGGAGAAAACGUGUGUGAAAUGGCACCACCUCAUUCUAUACGCGUACCACUUCCGCUUACCCUGUUCAGAAGGGUCCACUUUUCACUCCCUCCAUGAUAGCACCAAAUUCACAUUAUUCUCAGCAAUCACGAACAGAUUACCACCUCGUCAUCAAUGGACCCAAGACCCGCGUUAUUGACAUAUUUCACAAUUAAUUUCCAAUAUUUUGUUUUUACAAUCGAAGUGGCAGGUACCGCAGGAAGUCAACGGUGACUUGUCAAAGUGUCUCAUACGUAAAAUGUAUCCAGCCACUUAACCCAAAGUUUAAUUAUUAUGUUAAAUACGUUCGAAGAAAACAUACAUAAAAUACUAAUACCAUAGCGAUAUAUACUGGUAUUAUCUCCGUUAGAAUAACUGCUUGAAACAUAAAUUAUUCUGGUAAUGGAAUAGAAAUACUUUCAUGUUAUAUUUUCAGGUCGUCUUGAACUGAAUCACCAGUAGACUGGAGCAAAACAUGAGUACACAGCUGAUUGUUAUUUCCGGCUUAGUUAAAAAAACAGGUAGCAUAACAGGAAGGACAACUGAAUUAUCGUGUCUAGUGUUGUUAAUGUUUUUACCUCGGACGAUACGAUGUAGUUUUGACUGGGCACAAAACACGAAAUAGUAGUUCAGUAAUGUCCAUGGAAAAUGCAUUUUUACUUGGCCUUUAUUCCGUGUUAUGUAUAACGCGGGUGUCUCAUAACUCGGGGCUAAUCCAUCGGCCCAAAGACCGGCGUUAUGGCGAGGGAUAACUGGAAUUAUGUGUAUGGAUCUGGUGGCUUUCCCCUUCACAGUUCUUAAGCUUUAUAUUUGUUUGUUGUUGCCACCAUCUCAUUGCAAGCUAUAUCAGAUCAAUGAACAUUUAACGACCGACAAAAAGAGAGGCAGCUUUCUCAAGCUAAAACACAUUGGUUUCAGAAAGCAGAAUACAUUUCUUAGUGAACUUUAAUAGAUAUUUUAAAUGAAUCUUAAAAGUGAACAAAACAAAAUUCUGGAAUGUGCCAAGGUUGUGUAGCAGUACUUCCCAGGGACUGUGGAAAGUCUCCCUAUGUUUAACCGACUGAAAUGAGAGAUAGGCAAUGAUUUAAAGCAAUGACAAUCAUUUGUCACACAGACUGUAACUGCCUUAUGAAAACUGUGUUUAGUUAAUUUGUUUAUAAAAUUUAUCUGUGAUAUGUCAUCAACAGUCACAUUCGACAAGAUCUGAUUUGUCUAUUGUUUUAGCGUUUUUUAUAAAAAUGAACAUUUCUGGGACGUGGUGACUUUACUGACUGCAGUAAAUGCUGAUGUGAUUUUAGUGACUUUUAAUCAUACUUGGCUACUUCCUAUCUUGCCACACAGCUGGGAGCCCCAAGGUUCCAGUGAUACUUUAGUUCUUCUAUCUUGUAAUGAAAUGACAUGUUUGUUCAUUCAAAAUAACAAAGAUAAUGGUUAUUUGUUUCUCAUGUUAUUAAACAAUGUAAGGUUUGCCUCUUGUCAAUUAUGAGAAUGUCUCAUAUACCGAAAUAUACCUUGUACCGCAAUACGUACCGUACCGUGGUAAGAGCGUACCGUUUCACCCCUUUAACAGAGGACGAUGUCGUAAUGGCCAGUAGCAAGAUAAGUAUUUCAUUCAACAAUUUCAAUUAAAAGUGAAUGGUUGCAAGAGAUAUUUUUAAUAGCAUGAAGGCAAGAAAGAGAGUCAAAAAAUAGGAUAUAAUGGUUAUGUUUGGGGUAUCUUUGAAUAUAUUUAAGGGCCGUUAAUAUGUUGUUUUUUUGCUUUUUUCUUCUGCUGUAAAAUAGAGCUAUAUCCACCAUCCUAGGAUCCAUCUGUAAAUAAUGGGUGAGUGUGUUAAUGUGUUAAGCCAUAUCGUGACUAAAAAAAGUUCAUAAUGGAUAAAGGUAAAUUUUAUAACCUUGUCAACGAAGAACAGUAAAA